rnacentral:rRNA from 1 species
UGGGGAAUAUUGCACAAUGGGCGCAAGCCUGAUGCAGCCAUGCCGCGUGUAUGAAGAAGGCCUUCGGGUUGUAAAGUACUUUCAGCGAGGAGGAAGGCGUUGUGGUUAAUAACCGCAACGAUUGACGUUACUCGCAGAAGAAGCACCGGCUAACUCCGUGCCAGCAGCCGCGGUAAUACGGAGGGUGCAAGCGUUAAUCGGAAUUACUGGGCGUAAAGCGCACGCAGGCGGUCUGUCAAGUCGGAUGUGAAAUCCCCGGGCUCAACCUGGGAACUGCAUCCGAAACUGGCAGGCUAGAGUCUUGUAGAGGGGGGUAGAAUUCCAGGUGUAGCGGUGAAAUGCGUAGAGAUCUGGAGGAAUACCGGUGGCGAAGGCGGCCCCCUGGACAAAGACUGACGCUCAGGUGUGAAAGCGUGGGGAGCAAACA